rnacentral:rRNA from 1 species
GCUGAGGCGCGAAAGCGUGGGGAGCGAACAGGAUUAGAUACCCUGGUAGUCCACGCUGUAAACGAUGGGUACUAGGUGUUGGUCCUUUUUAGGAUCAGCGCCGCAGCUAACGCAUUAAGUACCCCGCCUGGGGAAUACGACCGCAAGGUUGAAACUCAAAGGAAUUGACGGGGGCCCGCACAAGCGGUGGAGCAUGUGGUUUAAUUCGAUGCAACGCGAAGAACCUUACCUGGGCUUGAACCGUAGUCGAAAACCCCUGAAAAGGGGUCCUCCUUCGGGACGGCUAUAGAGGUGCUGCAUGGCUGUCGUCAGCUCGUGCCGUGAGGUGUUGGGUUAAGUCCCGCAACGAGCGCAACCCUUGCCCUUAGUUGCCAUCAGGUUAUGCUGGGAACUCUAAGGGGACUGCCCCGGAUAACGGGGAGGAAGGUGGGGAUGACGUCAAGUCCUCAUGGCCCUUACGUCCAGGGCUACACACGUGCUACAAUGGCCGGUACAAUGGGCAGCGAUACCGCAAGGUGGAGCAUAUCCUUAAACCGGUCUCAGUUCAGAUUGCAGUCUGCAACUCGACUGCAUGAAGUCGGAAUCGCUAGUNAUCGCGGAUCAGCAUGCCGCGGUGUAUACGUUCCCGGGGCCUUGUACACACCGC